GCCGGGGUCACUCCGUCCGCCCCGAGGGCAGGAAUGAAAAACCGACGCCCCGGCGAUCCGAGCCACGGGGACUCCUGGGUCCCCUCUCGCCCCACCCCACACUCCCUACACCUUGUAGCUUUGCGCCCUGGCGCGGGCGAUUCUCAGCGAGUGCAUGUAUUUCCUCGCCGGGUUCCUAACGGAAAACAGGGAGGGGGGGAGAGCUGGGGGACGUCCGUGUUUGGAGCAAGUCUCUCCCCCCCUACCACCAGCAGCACCUCCAGAAGAGGAGACGAGCUGUCGGCUCCGCUGCAAGCCGCGGGGGCUGUCUCGCCGCCUCGCUGGCUCUCCGGCUCCGGGCUGCAGGGAAUCGGGCGCCGCGCCGGGCGCUUACCUACCUUUCCGAAACAUAAUCCCUGGGAAAUUUCGACUCCGGGAGGGGGAGGGGGUGGUGGGACCCGGCAGGGACAAGAACCGGGGGUGCAGAUUUCAACCCGGAUCCUCUUCGCACACCCAGCGCCUGCCUCUGACCGCGCGGGGCGGGGAAUGGACCCAGGGAUGUUCAGUCUAUCCGGAGGGAUGCAUGUCGAGAGGAAAUGGUCCUCCUCGGAGCCAAAUUUUUAAAAAUCCACAAGCCACACAGCCAGCCCGGCCGCCUCCUUUUGGGCGAAGCAGCGCCGCGCCGCAGUCGGCGAUCGGGAGGCGCCAGGAGCCCGGAAUCUCACAUCCGCGCGGGCUCGGGAGUCGGGGUGGCCGCCGCUCGGGCUCGGGGCGCAGGCCGGCACCGGGCGGUGCGCAGCGCGGCGGCGGGGCCGAACUGCGACUCGGCGCGGCCCCACCUCCUGGGCGCCGGCGCCCGCCCGCCGCGCUCCCCGCGUCCCCGCUCUCGGCUGCCGCUCGCUCGCCGCCCGCCCGCCCGCUCUCCCCCUCGGUCUCUUCUCCCUCCGUCGGUGUGCGAGCGAGUCUCCCUCCCUGUAAUGCAGGAAAUGCGCAAAAGACGUCAGUGUGUGUGUGUGUGUGUGUGUGUGUGUGUGUGUGUGUGUGUGUGCACGCGCGCGCGCUCCU
rnacentral:lncRNA from 1 species